CAGAUGACAGUAAAAUGUAAUCCCUGCCAAUUGAUCACUGUAGUCAGUGAUCAAUUGGCAGGGAAGGGGUUAAUUUUUAAUCAAAAUGAGUACAGGGAUUUUAAAUAAACUUUAUUAAUUUUUUUAACAGGGAGCAGGAUCAUUACUGAUCCGUCUCCCUGCACUUCACACAGAACCAGGAAGUGCAGGGAGGCGGAAGGGAAGUAUACUACGCACAUGUGCUGGGAAUCACUAUCGGGUGCUCCCGAUAGUGAUCCGGGGUUAAUUUUAACGGGUGACCGACAAGGUCCGUCACUCGUCGUUAUGGCAAUCCCCUGAGUGACGGACCUUGUCUGUCACUCGUGGUUAAGGGGUUACACUCACUAAGCUUUAGUUGUUCUGGUGACUAUAUUGUCCAUUUAAUCUUAAAAGAACACCCCAAUUACCAUAAUCACUAAAGUAACCUGAUCACUGCAGGAGUGACCUGGCACAAUCCCACAUUGUAAAUACUCAAACCAUUUUAGAAAAGUGACAGGUACCACUCCCUGCAUCCACUACUUCAGGCAAAGAGUCAGAAUUUUUUGUCUGUGCUAAGCCCGGUGGCACAGGGUGCACUCACUGGCGGAUCCAGGGGGGGCAACGGGGCAAUUGCCGCCCCCCUUCCCCCGAGAAUCUGAGGUUCUCCCUCUCCCUCCAGGUCCUUCUCCUGCGAGCACGGAGCGUUACCACGGCAAGACCGGGGCUAGAGUUCACUCUCACCACAUGGACCACCAGGGGUUCCUCACCGGACCACCAGGGAUUGAGAAAUGUCCCCCCUCGUCCCUAAACAAAGGUAAGAACGGAGGGGGGACAUUAUGUA